UGGGGGGCUUGCAGGGGUGCCUGGGUCGGGGGCUGCAGGUGGGAGUGAGCAAAUGUGCUGUCUCGCCACCUCGGGACAGGUGGUAGGGCCUCUGACACAGAGUGGUCCUUCCUGCUGUUCACAGCUCAGCUCACCGUGGGCUGACCAUAGGCAGGCCUUCUGCUUGAGGGGGACUGGGCGCAUGCUGGGCCUCUGGUCUGCGCAGUCUGCCCGGGGUCUGUGAGUGCUUGUGAGUGGGCUUCUCCAGUCUCCAGGUUCUCGUUGAAAUCCUAACGCCCCAGGCAAUGAUGUUAGGAGGCGGGGCUUCUGGGAGAUGGCAAGUUCGUGAGGCUGCAGCUCUGCUGGGGGAUCAGUGUCCUUCUACAAGCGGCUCCAGGGAGGUCCCUUGCCCCUUCCACCAUGUGAGGACCCGAGAUGGUGCCGUCUAUGAACCGGGAAGUGAGUCCUCUCCGGACGUGGAACAAGUUGGUGCCUUGAUUUUGAACUUGCAGCCUCCAGGCCUUGGUGAUACAGGACAGAGGUGCCCGUGCAGGUUGUGCCUGUGGCUGGGUCCCCAGGGAGAAGGUGGCAACCCCAGGCCAGCAGCCUCCUACCCUGAACUCCAGGCAACAUCGUCGGCCCCCUGGCACUGCACCUGCACUGUGGGCAGAGAAGGAGGGAAGGCUGGGAGAGGAGGAGGAGGUCGAAUGUCGCUGGAGGUCGGCGUCCUUCUGCAGCCGUGGGUUCAUGGGGUUUAAGUACGAUGAUGCUGCAUUGAGACGUUGUACUGUGUGAAGUCAGGGCCUUCUGUGCAUCGGUCGAGGGUGCAAUGCACACGGCACCCCCGAGCAGCCACCCAUCCUCCCUUCCCUCCACCCUGCGAGGCCCCGUUGUCCGUCUGUCCACACUCUGCUCCAUGAGCACACGUGACUUAGCUUCGCCUUGUGAGCCGCUGCUUGGGGUGAGCAUGCUUCCUGCUGGAUGCUUCUCUAUGUAAGCACCUGCCUGAGUGUCAGCCCUCUUAAGGUGAACCGCUCCGUGUCAUUCGUACAUUCACAAGUUUGUGCCGCCAUCAUCGUGAUCGGAUUCCAAAACAUUUUCAUCACCUCCAAGAAAGCCUUGUACCUGGCAGCAGUCACUGUCUCUAUGGAUUUGCUUAUUCUGGACAUUUCAUAAAAAUAGAAUCAAACAGCAUUUGACGGCCACUAGCACGUUUGAAGUCACACACAGGGUAGCGCCGGCCUGGACAGAGGCGGACAUCUGACAAGCGGGCCAAUGAGGAUGACAUCUCGGACGGUAGUCACUGCUACAACGAAAGUCAGUGCCCCACCUUGCCCAGCCGCAGGGUGGAC
rnacentral:lncRNA from 10 species